GUGGAGUGGUUGAUGGACUGAGUAAAGGUGAAGUGGUUGAUGGACUGAGUAAAGGUGGAGUGGUUGAUGGACUGAGUAAAGGUGAAGUGGUUUACUGAGUAAAGGUGGAGUGGUUUACUGAGUAAAGGUGGAGUGGAUGAUGGACUGAGUAAAGGUGGAGUGGUUUACUGAGUAAAGGUGGAGUGGAUGAUGGACUGAGUAAAGGUGGAAGUGGAUGAUGGACUGAGUAAAGGUGAAGUGGAUGAUGGACUGAGUAAAGGUGGAGUGGUUUACUGAGUAAAGGUGGAGUGGUUUACUGAGUAAAGGUGAAGUGGAUGAUGGACUGAGUAAAGGUGGAGUGGAUGAUGGACUGAGUAAAGGUGAAGUGGUUGAUGGACUGAGUAAAGGUGGAGUGGUUUAAUGAGUAAAG